ensembl:lncRNA
UGUGAAUAGUGCUACCAUUAGAAAGUUGAAUGUUUCUUCUUUCUCUCUUCAGAACAAAUUACGGAGCUGGACAGCCCCAGCUCUCAGCCUGUCCUUGUAGAAGAAGUGUUCCAUCUCUUGCAACAUUUUUGUGGCCCUCUUCUGGACACACUCCAACAGGUCCAUGUCUCUCCUGUACUGAGGAUUCCACGUGUGGAUGCAGUACUCCAGGCAAUGGCGAAGUCUAAUGGCAGCAAAGAGAAGAUAGUUAACACAUGGGAAGUGCCUGUGAUGUGGCUUUCUGGAAUGAGAGAUUGCGAUCGUGGGAUGAGGAGAGGAGGGAUGAAGAGUAAGGGGAGCAGAGGGAAGGAGGUCCCUCCACAGAGACAAAAGUGGCAGACACAGGAAGAAGCUUUGUUUCCUCCCAGCAGCGCUGGGAAGAGCUGGAGAGAGUUUGAUUUCAAAGUCCAACAAUGAAGCGAUGGCAUUUGUUUCCAAUUCAGCAGGAAUGAGUGUAUGGUUUGAACAAUUCUUUCGAGGUUCCUGGCAGGGGGAUUAUAACUCAUCUCAGCUGGCUGUUUUUGGAGAUCAAAUGACACAAAAAAAAAAUUGCUCAAAGCUUAGGGUAUCCUUCUGGCAGCCGGAGACCAUGCGCAUCUUCAUAGAUUCGCUAUUUGCUCUAAUGUGGACCAAGAGCUGCGUGCUGUGUAGAAAACUGCUUGCUUACAAAACAAUCUUAUUACUGCCAGAUGUUGGCUCCUUGCCUGCUUUUACAUAAUUCAGGCUUUUCUUUGCUCAAGAUGUUACAAUUUAAAGGUGCUUUAGAAGUUUUAUUUUAAAAGCCUUGAUAAUGCUUUUAUCCUUAUUCUUUUUUCCCCUCUUGCUCAGAGUGGCUCUUCCAUCACCACAUGCUGCAAUCUGGUGUAUGUGGAAUAUGUUAAUGUGUGUAACCAAGAACAGCAAAACUUUCUUAGCUCUACCCCUGAGCUGAUUAAGACAAGCAUAAAAAUAUCCCUAAGGCUGUGCCGUCUGCAUCCUGGUGACUCAUAUGCCAAGUAUAAUGCACACCUUUGUUUUAAAUGCUGUCCUGGAUAGUGUGUGUGUAUUUAUAUGUUUAUCUAUAUGUUUUUAAUUAGAUAUUCAGGUGAGGGAUUACUGUAAGUGUCCAAGGACUGAUAAUAGAGGCUUAAGCCAGGCAAGUGAUGUGCUGUAGAAGAUUUCUCCACACUGCUAGCGGAGCUUUACUCUUGUAGACUUCAUCCUUCAUCCAUGGACAAGUAACUACCAAAAAAACAUCAUCAUAAUCCUGUGGCAUGUUCUUCACUGAAUUUUCAAUGAUUAAACAAACUAGCAAUG